rnacentral:rRNA from 1 species
UACGGAGGGGGCUAGCGUUGUUCGGAAUUACUGGGCGUAAAGCGCACGUAGGCGGCUUUGUAAGUUAGAGGUGAAAGCCCAGGGCUUAACCCUGGAAUUGCCUUUAAGACUGCAUCGCUAGAAUCGUGGAGAGGUGAGUGGAAUUCCGAGUGUAGAGGUGGAAUUCGUAGAUAUUCGGAAGAACACCAGUGGCGAAGGCGACUCACUGGACACAUAUUGACGCUGAGGUGCGAAAGCGUGGGGAGCAAAGCAGG